rnacentral:lncRNA from 1 species
UCCCACUCACACAAAGACACUUGUCCUCAUAAUUACUAUGCUAUAAUAUAAUAUAAUUAGAAAGGUUAUUUUUUCAAAAUACUUUCGGUUCGUCAUUCCAAAUUCACUUCCGCUGGUGCAUACUCGAUCGUAUCGUCGAUUACCUCAAGAAUACGCUAAAAUAAUAUUUAGUACAGCUCACAAUUCGCUAGUCAAUGAAAGUCAAAACCUUCGUCUCUAGGUUGUUUUCGUAAUUUCACAUUUUAAAAUUUAAAAAUUAAUAAAAUCUGGGACAGGUUGUCACAGCAGCGCCCAAACAAAGAUACAUCUAUCAUGCUUCAUCCAAAUAAUACAUCAAAUCUAAUAAAAUUCUAAUAAGGUCCUACAAGAAUUUUGAAAAUUAAAUUAUGAGAAAAAUGGAAGUUGAGAAUUAUGAGGUGAGAGAGGGAGAGUUUUAACUCUCACCUGUCACUUGUCAGACACUAUCAGGGCAUUAUUCCUGCACCACCUCCAAUACACACACAAAAAACACUUAAUUAGUUUGACCUAAUCACAAAUUAAUUAUUUUAAUGGUGUACUUUAAUCUAACCCUAGACAGAGGCACAACACUCAAUGCCACUAUUCCUAAUGUCCUUUUGGAUUGACCUAUCCAUCAAAUGAAGUAGGAUUUUUCCAUCUUCUUUCAUCCUCUCAUCUUACAUUCUCUACUUUGUCUUUCUCUUUCUAUAAAAAAAAAUUAAUAUAAGAUGUUGAUGUGGUUUAACCGUGACCGUUCAAAUAAGAGAGGAGGGAAGGAGGGGAAAAAGAGAGGAGAUAAUCCUACUCCCUCUGAAAUUGUGGAAGUCAGAUUUCAAAACAUUUCCUUUAAAAACAAAGAAGACGACGAGAAACCAAUGCAUGGAGCACUAGUUUGAUGCCUAAAUUUGGAUCGAUUGGGGCGACUGAGAGAAUCGAAAGAGAUAUGAAAACAAAGAGAGAGUGACAUAUGGCUUAUUGCGCUAGUUGGUUGCUGCCAAUUGUGUUAUGAACAUACUACUUCUUGAAUUUAUACCUUUUUAUUGAAAAGCGACGAUAUAGGAUUUCAUUGAUUAAAAAGGCAGUGUACAAAAUAGUAAACAGAGAGAGGUGAUGUGGUAGAAACUAACACACAAAUUAAACUCAUAAAUUAUGCAAUCGUAGUACGAGAAAGUAGGGAUCAUUCUAUUUUGGGGAUUAGAAGGGAUGCUAACCAACACAAAUUAAACUUAAUAAACUAAAAGUUAAGUUAAACUAACAACAAAACAAUGACUAGGGGGAUUUUGGACGAAUUUAAUUAAAACAAAAGUAAAUGGCAACAAGUAAAUUAAGUUGUGAAUGAAAUAUGGAUGAAAGGAUAGCUAAAGGAUUCUUCUCCACACAUGAAUCAUUUGCAUACAAAUCGAUUUCCAAUUAUUCUUCCUAUAAACCAUGAAUGACAAUGCCCCAAAUUAACUGUGAAUAGUACUAAUUAACUCCCUAAGUUCAUUGAAUUGGACUCAGCGACGCAACCAAAUUGUUCUUUUCAAGUUCCCUAACGAUGAAAAGCAUGAUAGAGAUACAUCUCAAAGAUCAUUAAGUUCUGUGAAAAUCAUAAGCAUUGACAAAACAUUCAUAACUAUGAAAAGCAUGAUACUCUAGCCAAGAAUUUAUUUAACUCAAUCAUGACUAGUGAUUUUUACAACUUACAAAUAUAAGUUCAUACCAAUUAGGUGAAAUUCCCUUACAUUCUAGCAUCAAAUCCCUGCAUGCAAACUAAGUGUGCACCCUUAAUAAACAUACUAGAAUAAGUUCUCUAUAAAGCAAAUAAGUAAAUCGCAUUCAUGUCUUAUGAAACAAUAACUGGAUGUAAUCAAUCUAUAUAAAACAUAUGAUCAUGGCUUCGAAUUCACUUUUAGCUAAAAAGAAACUUAGUUACACAUGUUCAUCAUAACUGAAAAGCAAUCUAAAAUAAACAUUGAAACUUAAAACAAAGAGAGAAAGAACUCUGAAAACUCCAGCAACUUCAAUGGAUGAAUGGCAAGUGCAACACACCCUAAAUUGCUGCAUGAAUUUCAUAUAUAUAUAUAUAUAUAUAUAUAUAUAUAUAUAUAUAUAGGGGAAACGGCUGAAUCCAAGGAGGAAAAGGUUUUGGCGUUUUGAAUUACUUUAGAACUCUAAGAAUCAGGUGGAGAGUGAUAAGAUAAGAUAAUAUAAUAUUCUUCUCCAACUAGGAUUCUUCUUUCUUGUGUAAUUCCUUGCCUUCUAAGCCUCAACUUUAAUUUCUCCAUAUUUUUGCACAUGUCUAACGCCUUUUAAACACCAAAAACGUCCAGCCCAUAUGCCAUCCACGCCUGUUAUCCAAUCCAAAUCCAAAACUGCUCCAAAUUGCUCCAUUU